AUGAACUUAAAAAAAAAAAAAAAGACAAAAACCACCGUUAGAGCCGCAGAGCCGAGCAGAGGAAUGAUGGGAGGCCAUGGCAGGCGCACUUCAGUCCACAGGCCACCAGGACUGCUUGGUCAUCCGUGUACAACGUGCCCAUUCGCUCUGACGAGGAGGCCAGCCUCCCGUAUCCCUGGAGAGCUGAGGACUUGUAGCUUGACCGCGUUCCAGGGCAGAUUCCACCCAGCCCCACCCCCAGCCUCAAACCUUGAAGGUGAAGUUUAAGGUCUGUCGUGAGAUGUGUAGAAGGUAGGGAAGCCCAAGGGACAGAAGGGCAGAGAGGGACAGAAGGCUAGUUGGGGCUCAGGACAGUUGAGCUGAGUGGAUUGGGGCAGACUUGGUGAGUUCCAGUGGGCAAAGCAGGGUCACUACCUCCUGCUUCUGUAAAGAGUUUGACCUGCACGCAGCCACACUCUUCUCCUGUCUGCACCCUGCACAAAGCUGCUUCUCUCUACCCUGCAACAGCAGGCCUGGAGAGUCGUAUUAUACUAGAGAUACUAUGACCCACAAAGCUCAAAAUAACUCUUUACUAUCUGGCCUCUCAGGGGAAAUGUUCACCAUCACCUGAGACGGAGGACUGCUCAUGUGCCAGGAGACAGGUGAGAAAGAACCGAGUCAGCUGGAUUUCUAUAAGAAACAUCGUGUCAGAGACACAUCGGGGAGGGGUGAGGACUGUGGCAAACUGGAGAACGCAUGGCCCAGCUACAGAGGGCAGCUCAUCCGCCCUCAUAACUGCCAGGGCUUACAGUCUCUAAGACACCCUGGAAAUCUAGAUGUUCCCGUGAACAAGAAAAGCAGCACAGGGUGAGCACGCGGUCUCAGAUCCCUCCCCGCCCCUUCCUUACGAGGCGACCUUGCUGGUUCAGACUCUCCACAGACUGGAGGGGGUAACAGCGCUAACUUGACAGCUGGGAUGAGUAUUAGACAAGCUACCGUCCUGGGGCCCCCAGAACAAUGUUAUGCGCGGACCAAGUGUGGGGUAAAUAUUUCCUAAACAAUCUUUGGAUUGUUCAAUGCCAGCGACUGAAAACACUUGGCCCCCAAGGUGGACAGUCCGAAGAAAAUAUGGAUGUUCCGCUUUCUGGCUACGGUCACGGGUUUGCUUUUGCUGGCAGAGUCAUGAGUUUGGAAGUCAGAGGGACUGGCUGAAGCCCAUUUAGCCCAGUUAGGUGACCUCAGGCAAGGGAGCUGCCCAGAGGCCCCGGUUCCAGUCUGUAGCACCAGGCCAGGGUCAUUGUAAGGAUUUAGGGUCGCAUUCCAAAAGGGCACUGGCAGAGCUUACUUGCCCCUCCCCUCAGCACCCUGCCCUGCCCAGAGGGGGCCCGCCCCUGCCCCUCCCCCUGAAGUCAGGGGAACAGGGUGGAGCUCAGACUCUUCAGUUAACUGUCACCCUGUCCCCUCCCCCUCACCACACACACCCCAGGUCGGCUAGAACAGGGCAGCCCCCUGAAGCUCCCUCAGAGACCCAGGGCCAUCAGGUGCCUCACAAAGCUGCUUCUCUCUUUCUCUCUGUCCCCAGGGGUCCAGACCUCGGGCUUUGCC
ensembl:lncRNA